UCCAGACUCCUACGGGAGGCAGCAGUGAGGAAUAUUGGUCAAUGGUCGGGAGACUGAACCAGCCGAGCCGCGUGAGGGAGGAAGGUACAGAGUAUCGUAAACCUCUUUUGUCAGGGAACAAAGACUGGGACGCGUCCCCGGAUGAGUGUACCUGAAGAAAAAGCAUCGGCUAACUCCGUGCCAGCAGCCGCGGUAAUACGGAGGAUGCGAGCGUUAUCCGGAUUUAUUGGGUUUAAAGGGUGCGCAGGCGGAGGUGCAAGUCAGCGGUCAAAUUGCGGGGCUCAACCCCGUACUGCCGUUGAAACUGCAUCCCUUGAGUGCGCGAGAAGUAUGCGGAAUGCGUGGUGUAGCGGUGAAAUGCAUAGAUAUCACGCAGAACUCCGAUUGCGAAGGCAGCUUACUAAACUAUAACUGACACUGAAGCACGAAAGCGUGGGGAUCAAACAGGAUUAGAUACCCCUGUAA
rnacentral:rRNA from 1 species